AUGGAUCGCCAUUCUCUCGAUUCACUCUCGCGUCGUCGGCGUAUGGAAUAUUUGAUGUUUCGUGAACGUCCAGGUUCAGAUGAGGACAGAAUGAAAUCUAUUAUUAGUGAGCAUGAGAAUAUGAUUGCUGAUCGUGAGACUCAAAAUGACGUGGAGGAUAUGGACACUCAGGAAGAUUGACUAUGGUAAAGGGAGGUUUGUCAAGUUCUUAAAAGUCAUGAAAUUAUCUUAAUACUUAGUUGCUAGAAUGAAAAAUUUUGGUGUGAACUGUUUUUUUUGGAAAAUAAUUGGAUACAUCGAAAAAGCAUUUCUGAAAGCAUUAAUUUUGAUAGAAAAUAGUAACGGUAAGAUAUACCUAAAUGAAAUGAAGUCCUAGAAUAUCCAUUAAGUCAAUACGCGGUCCAGAAGACCUUUUUUUCCAUAAUACCGACUAUGCUGACAAAAAAUUCUAACCUCCAUUACAGCAUACCAGUCCUAACAUUUAUUGAAGGUGAAACUGCAAUACUUUGCAUUUGAUCUGCAACAAGCAAGAUUUCACUCGAUUUAUUUUUUUUUGUAGGAUAACCAAUCAUUGCAAUUACAUUAAAAUUAAUACCAUUUUUAUUUACUUUUUCCGUAUUUACUUAAAUCUGAGAAUUUCUACAAAUCUCUCCUAUGAAUAAAAAGUUCAAGCCCUUUUUAAAUGCAGCAAUGGACCACUAGACAAGGUACGAAUUUCAGCACUCUGAAACAUGUCUCUCAAACAAAAUUACACCUAGAACACGAUGCGCACAACGAAAAUUACCGACGUCAACUCCUUCCGAAGAUAUUUAAUGAUUCUUGGUGCGUGAACUGAAACCACCUGCUCAUGAAAACUCAGUGCUCUACGUGAUUCACAUCGCGCGCUAAACGUUAUCAUGAAUGUCUCUGCGAUAAAAAAUCUGGCAACCUCAAUCUUGACGCUUUGGCUCAGCUGUAGCAAAUUACUUAUAGUUUGAAAAACACAUGGUGGGAAAUGAACACUGCUCGAUUGAGAAGCUUGCUGAAACCGUUGU
rnacentral:lncRNA from 1 species